AUUUCGUCAAUCCAUCAUAUCCAUCCUCAGAAAUGGUUUUUAAAAAAGAUUGAUUGGGGUGAGGUUGCUAAAGAAGCAUCCAAAUUAAAUGGUCCACCUUACGUUAUUAUUAGUAGUACAUUAUAUUAUAGAGAGCAAUUUGUGGUCUGGGUCUUUUGUGACACCGUGUUAAAUUUUGACUACUAAUCUUACAUCAUAAAUGAAUGGAUUGUAGGUGACAACAGGAUGGUAUAAAAAAAAUGGGAUAAUUACCUAGAAGUGCCGGUCGGAAAUCUAGUUAACCAAUAUUAGCCCAACUAUUACAUUUUUACCCGCUUUAGCUUUAUUUUAGCACUACCACCAUCUGCUUCUUAAACACCGAUCGCCCCUUUUUCUUCUCUCUUCCACGUGACUUCCUCCAAAUCCAUAUUCUUUUUUCUCUUUCAUUGCAUCUUCUUUCUCUCCUUUGCCCAAAUCUCUUUUUGUUGUUGUGUAUGAAGAAAACAAGGACACAGUGAAUAGCUUAAAGCUUUCUCUUCAAUGAAAUAAAUGCAUGAAAGUUGGGAAAGACCAAUAAAUGAAACAUUCCAAAUGAGUAGCAAACAAAUAGAUUUCUCAACUAUUUGGAAGAAAAUGUAAGUAGUGUGUUGGCAGCCACCUGCAUGCCAUGCAAAUGUGGAUUGACACCUGUUCCACAGUUUCCUCUCAAUAUAUACUCAGACAACUCUACUUCGGUACUAUCAAAGCACAGAGAAAAAGAUCAGUCAGAAAACUAUUACAAUUCCAGUCAUGGCCUCCAAAAAGCCCUCAAAAAAUGAUGCAACAGGAAAAUCGACCAAUCAAGUUGGAGAAAGUUCCAUUGUCCUGCGCGUCCUGCACGGAUUCACAUGCCAAACCGCGGUGUCGCAAGCUCGUCUAAUGUUCAGGGUGGUGGUGGGAAAGAAGUCAAAGCUACAUGAAAAGGCGCGUGAAAAGAUAAUCAUCGCUGAGAGCAAAAAGACCGAGGCGAUCUCGAUGAAAAAGUCCAAAGAGAAGAAAGUGAUUAAGAAGCCGGAUGGAGAUGUGAAGAAGUACAAAGGGGUCAGACAACGAAAAUGGGGCAAGUGGCUGGUAGAGAUUCGGGAGACAAGAAAGAAAGUCCGAUGGUUAGAAAC